CAAGAGAAAAGCCAUUUCUUUUUCAUUAAUCCCCUCAAUUAUU
rnacentral:tRNA from 1 species